rnacentral:misc_RNA from 1 species
GAUGAAGAACGUAGCGAAAUGCGAUACGUAGUGUGAAUUGCAGAAUUCAGUGAAUCAUCGAAUCUUUGAACGCACAUUGCACCUCUCGGUAUUCCGGGAGGUAUGCCUGUUCGAGCGUCAUUUGUACCCUCAAGCUCUGCUUGGUGUUGGGUGUUUGUUCCGCCUCUGUGUGUGAACUCGCCUCAAAACAAUUGGCAGCCGGCGUACUUGUUUCGGAGCGCAGCACAUUUUGCGAUCCAGAUCAACGUACAGCGGCAUCCAAGAAGCCUUAUUUAACGCUCUUGACCUCGGAUCAGGUAGGGAUACCCGCUGAACUUAAGCAUAUCAAUAGGCGGAGGA